rnacentral:rRNA from 1 species
UAGGGAAUCUUCCGCAAUGGACGCAAGUCUGACGGAGCAACGCCGCGUGAGUGAAGAAGGAUUUCGGUUCUUAAAACUCUUUUGUUAGAGAAGAACAGCGCAUAGAGUAACUGUUAUGCGUGUGACGGUAUCUAACCAGAAAGCCACGGCUAACUACGUUCCAGCCGCCGCGGUAAUACGUAGGUGGCAAGCGUUUUCCGGAUUUAUUGGGCGUAAAGCGAGCGCAGGCGGUCAAUUAAGUCUGAUGUGAAAGCCCCCGGCUCAACCGGGGAGGGUCAUUGGAAACUGGUUGACUUGAGUGCAGAAGAGGAGGGGGGAAUUCCAUGUGUAGCGGUGAAAUGCGUAGAUAUGUGGAGGAACACCAGUGGCGAAGGCGACUCUCUGGUCUGUAACUGACGCUGAGGCUCGAAAGCGUGGGUAGCAAACAGG